GUUCAUUCCAAUCCUGGGGGGACUCAAUCUGAUGGAGGCUUCAAUUCAACAUACCCCAUAGGAAACAUUGGUUCUCCUUGAAGAUGUCUGCCCAGGGAUGGUGAUGGUAUGGAACACAUUGCGAGGAGCCUUAAUAUGUGACAUCACCUACUUUAGGAAAGAGAGAAGAGCCAGCCUUCAAUAACUGAGAAUGGAAAUGAAUCAGCCAUGAAACCAUGAUGUGGCUUUGAAAAAUUAUCAGAAAAAUCUCAAGCUUUACCAAAAGGAGGUAACAAUGUAAAGUAUUAUUUCACCAAAGAAAUACCCUCAAGAACUACUGCAUAGACUUCAGGUUCAGUGGGGCAGAAUAGGGAGCUGAUCUUCCUCCUCACCCUCUCUCCCUGCAGAAGCCAAUGGUGGGGCUCCAGUUCUCUUGCCCAGUCAUAUUGGUGGGACUGAUCCUCCAUUUCCUGCCCGCUGGAAGCAGGCAGAGUUCCUCACCUCCCACUAGGGUGGUGUCACCAGGGUGGCAUGAAGGUUCUUAUAGAACAGAUUAAACUGUUCUAUAUUUUGGUGGCCAUGUGAA